GGCCAAGGCCCCGCAUACGGAUGAGCCUGCGGUGCAUUAGCUGGUUGGUGAGGUAACGGCCCACCAAGGCGACGAUGCGUAGCCGGCCUGAGAGGGCGGACGGCCACACUGGGACUGAGACACGGCCCAGACUCCUACGGGAGGCAGCAGUAGGGAAUUUUCGGCAAUGGGCGAAAGCCUGACCGAGCAACGCCGCGUGAACGAAGAAGGUCUUCGGAUCGUAAAGUUCUGUUAUCGGGGAAGAGAGGCGGAUGCAGGGAAUGGUAUCCGAGAGGACGGUACCCGAUGAGGAAGCCACGGCUAACUAC
rnacentral:rRNA from 1 species